rnacentral:misc_RNA from 1 species
GAUGAAGAACGCAGCGAAAUGCGAUAACUUAUGUGAAUUGCAGAAUUCCGUGAAUCAUCGAGUCUUUGAACGCACAUUGCGCCCCCUGGUAUUCCGGGGGGCAUGCCUGUCCGAACGUCAUUGCAACCCUCAAGCACGGCUUGUCUAAUGGGCGGUUCGUCUGCGGCCAUCCGCCGGAGACGCCCCCGAAAUGCAGUGGGGAUGUUCGCUAAAUCGCAGCGUCAGGAAUGGAAAUAAACAAUGCUGACGGCUCGAUGUCGAACGUCCACCUAAGGCGUGCCGCCCCCCCGGGGUGUGCCGCCCAACCUCUCUCGGUUGACCUCGGAUCAGGUAGGGAUACCCGCUGAACUUAAGCAUAUCAAUAAGCGGAGGA